rnacentral:misc_RNA from 1 species
GAUGAAGAACGUAGCGAAAUGCGAUAAGUAAUGUGAAUUGCAGAAUUUAGUGAAUCAUCGAAUCUUUGAACGCACAUUGCGCCCGCCAGUAUUCUGGCGGGCAUGCCUGUCUGAGCGUCAUUUCAACCCUCAUGCCCCUAGGGCGUGGUGUUGGGGAUCGGCCAAAGCCCGCGAGGGACGGCCGGCCCCUAAAUCUAGUGGCGGACCCGUCGUGGCCUCCUCUGCGAAGUAGUGAUAUUCCGCAUCGGAGAGCGAUGAGCCCCUGCCGUUAAACCCCCAACUUUCCAAGGUUGACCUCAGAUCAGGUAGGAAUACCCGCUGAACUUAAGCAUAUCAAUAAGCGGAGGA